rnacentral:rRNA from 1 species
CAGCAGCCGCGGGAAUACGAAGGGUGCAAGCGUUACUCGGAAUUACUGGGCGUAAAGCGUGCGUAGGUGGUGGUUUAAGUCCGUUGUGAAAGCCCUGGGCUCAACCUGGGAAUUGCAGUGGAUACUGGGUCACUAGAGUGUGGUAGAGGAUAGUGGAAUUUCCGGUGUAGCAGUGAAAUGCGUAGAGAUCGGAAGGAACAUCUGUGGCGAAGGCGACUAUCUGGGCCAACACUGACACUGAGGCACGAAAGCGUGGGGAGCAAACAGGAUUAGAUACCCGGGUAGUCCCUGUCUCUUAUAA